CCUACGGGGGGCUGCAGUAGGGAAUCUUCCACAAUGGGCGCAAGCCUGAUGGAGCAACGCCGCGUGUGUGAUGAAGGCUUUCGGGUCGUAAAGCACUGUUGUAUGGGAAGAAAUGCUAAAAUAGGGAAUGAUUUUAGUUUGACGGUACCAUACCAGAAAGGGACGGCUAAAUACGUGCCAGCAGCCGCGGUAAUACGUAUGUCCCGAGCGUUAUCCGGAUUUAUUGGGCGUAAAGCGAGCGCAGACGGUUGAUUAAGUCUGAUGUGAAAGCCCGGAGCUCAACUCCGGAAUGGCAUUGGAAACUGGUUAACUUGAGUGUUGUAGAGGUAAGUGGAACUCCAUGUGUAGCGGUGGAAUGCGUAGAUAUAUGGAAGAACACCAGUGGCGAAGGCGGCUUACUGGACAACAACUGACGUUGAGGCUCGAAAGUG
rnacentral:rRNA from 1 species